rnacentral:rRNA from 1 species
GAGUAACACGUGGGUAACCUACCUAUAAGACUGGAAUAACUUCGGGAAACCGGAGCUAAUGCCGGAUAACAUAUAGAACCGCAUGGUUCUAUAGUGAAAGAUGGUUUUGCUAUCACUUAUAGAUGGACCCGCGCCGUAUUAGCUAGUUGGUAAGGUAAUGGCUUACCAAGGCGACGAUACGUAGCCGACCUGAGAGGGUGAUCGGCCACACUGGAACUGAGACACGGUCCAGACUCCUACGGGAGGCAGCAGUAGGGAAUCUUCCGCAAUGGGCGAAAGCCUGACGGAGCAACGCCGCGUGAGUGAUGAAGGUUUUCGGAUCGUAAAACUCUGUUAUUAGGGAAGAACAAAUGCGUAAGUAACUGUGCGCAUCUUGACGGUACCUAAUC